UACGUAGGGGGCUAGCGUUGUCCGGAAUCAUUGGGCGUAAAGCGCGUGUAGGCGGCCCGGUAAGUCCGCUGUGAAAGUCGGGGGCUCAACCCUCGGAUGCCGGUGGAUACUGUCGGGCUAGAGUGCGGAAGAGGCGAGUGGAAUUCCUGGUGUAGCGGUGAAAUGUGCAGAUAUCAGGAGGAACACCAAUUGCGAAGGCAGCUCGCUGGGACGUGACUGACGCUGAGACGCGAAAGCGUGGGGAGCAAACAGG
rnacentral:rRNA from 1 species